UCCUACGGGAGGCAGCAGUUGGGAAUCUUGGACAAUGGGGGAAACCCUGAUCCAGCCAUGCCGCGUGAGUGAUGAAGGCCUUCGGGUUGUAAAACUCUUUCGACGGGGACGAUAAUGACGGUACCCGUAGAAGAAGCUCCGGCUAACUUCGUGCCAGCAGCCGCGGUAAU
rnacentral:rRNA from 1 species